UCAUCAAAGCUGUGGACAAGAAGGC
rnacentral:piRNA from 2 species